rnacentral:rRNA from 1 species
GACGAACGCUGGCGGCGUGCUUAACACAUGCAAGUCGAACGGAAAGGCCCUUUCGGGGGUGCUCGAGUGGCGAACGGGUGAGUAACACGUGGGUGAUCUGCCCUGCACUUUGGGAUAAGCCUGGGAAACUGGGUCUAAUACCGGAUAGGACCAUGGCAUGCAUGUGCUGUGGUGGAAAGCUUUUGCGGUGUGGGAUGGGCCCGCGGCCUAUCAGCUUGUUGGUGGGGUGAUGGCCUACCAAGGCGACGACGGGUAGCCGGCCUGAGAGGGUGUCCGGCCACACUGGGACUGAGAUACGGCCCAGACUCCUACGGGAGGCAGCAGUGGGGAAUAUUGCACAAUGGGCGCAAGCCUGAUGCAGCGACGCCGCGUGAGGGAUGACGGCCUUCGGGUUGUAAACCUCUUUCACUAGGGACGAAGCGCAAGUGACGGUACCUGGAGAAGAAGCACCGGCCAACUACGUGCCAGCAGCCGCCGUAAAAC